GUGCCAGCCGCCGCGGUAAUACGAAGGGUGCAAGCGUUAAUCGGAAUUACUGGGCGUAAAGCGCGCGUAGGCGGUUUGGUCAGUUGGAUGUGAAAGCCCCGGGCUUAACCUGGGAACUGCAUCCAAUACUGCCAGGCUAGAGUACGGGAGAGGGGGGUAGAAUUCCACGUGUAGCGGUGAAAUGCGUAGAGAUGUGGAGGAAUACCGGUGGCGAAGGCGGCCCCCUGGAUCGAUACUGACGCUGAGGUGCGAAAGCGUGGGGAGCAAACAGGAUUAGAAACCCUGGUAGUCC
rnacentral:rRNA from 1 species